AUUACGAAUAACUAUGGUGUCUUGGUUGUCGCUGGCUCCUCGGAGCAUUGUGCACGCCCGCCAUUUUUAUCUAUCCACCUGUGCACCGAAUGUAGGUCUGGAUGACUCUCGCCUUCGGGCGGAUGCGAGGUUUGCGUGCGAGCGCUCUCCUCGAAUUUCCAGGCUCUACGUCUCUUUACACACCCCAAACGUAUGAUGCAGAAUGUAGUCAAUGGGCCUUUACAAGCCUAUAAAACACUAUACAACUUUCAGCAACGGAUCUCUUGGCUCUCGCAUCGAUGAAGAACGCAGCGAAAUGCGAUAAGUAAUGUGAAUUGCAGAAUUCAGUGAAUCAUCGAAUCUUUGAACGCACCUUGCGCUCCUUGGUAUUCCGAGGAGCAUGCCUGUUUGAGUGUCAUUAAAUUCUCAACCUCACCGGUUUUCUGAACCGUUCUCCGAGGCUUGGAUGUGGGGGUCUGUGCGACAACAUACUUGACAAUUUGACCUCAAAUCAGGUAGGACUACCCGCUGAACUUAAGCAUAUCAAUAAGCGGAGGAAAAGAAACUAACAAGGAUUCCCCUAGUAACUGCGAGUGAAGCGGGAAAAGCUCAAAUUUAAAAUCUGGCGGUCCUUGGCCGUCCGAGUUGUAAUCUAGAGAAGUGUUACCCGCGUCGGACCGUGUACAAGUCUCCUGGAAUGGAGCGUCAUAGAGGGUGAGAAUCCCGUCUUUGACACGGACUACCGAGGCUUCUGUGGUGCGCUCUCAAAGAGUCGAGUUGUUUGGGAAUGCAGCUCAAAAUGGGUGGUAAAUUCCAUCUAAAGCUAAAUAUUGGCGAGAGACCGAUAGCGAACAAGUACCGUGAGGGAAAGAUGAAAAGAACUUUGGAAAGAGAGUUAAACAGUACGUGAAAUUGCUGAAAGGGAAACGCUUGAAGUCAGUCGCGUCCUUCGGGAAUCAGCCUUCCUUUUGGUUGGCGUACUUCCUGGUGGACGGGCCAGCAUCAGUUUUGACCGGUGGAAAAAGUUGUAGGGAAUGUGGCACCUCCGGGUGUGUUAUAGCCUUGCUUCGUAUACAUCGGUUGGGACUGAGGAACUCAGCACGCCGCAAGGCCGGGAUUCGUCCA
rnacentral:rRNA from 1 species